UAGCCCAGUGGUAGAGCCCCGCUUCGCGUGCGGGGAGGCCCGGGUUCGAUUCCCGG
rnacentral:tRNA from 1 species